GAUGAACGCUGGCGGUCUGCUUAACACAUGCAAGUCGAACGGAAUCCUUCGGGAUUUAGUGGCGGACGGGUGAGUAACACGUGAGAAUCUGCAAUCAGGAUGGGGACAACAGCGGGAAACUGCUGCUAAUACCCAAUGAGCCGAAAGGGUAAAGGUUUAACGCCUGAGAAUGAGCUCGCGGCCGAUUAGUUAGUUGGUGGGGUAAUGGCCUACCAAGACGGCGAUCGGUAGCUGGUCUGAGAGGAUGAGCAGCCACACUGGGACUGAGACACGGCCCAGACUCCUACGGGAGGCAGCAGUGGGGAAUUUUCCGCAAUGGGCGCAAGCCUGACGGAGCAAGACCGCGUGGGGGAGGAAGGCUCUUGGGUUGUAAACCCCUUUUCUCAAGGAAGAACAAAAUGACGGUACUUGAGGAAUCAGCCUCGGCUAACUCCGUGCCAGCAGCCGCAGUAAGAC
rnacentral:rRNA from 1 species